CCUACGGGUGGCAGCAGUGGGGGAUAUUGCACAAUGGGGGAAACCCUGAUGCAGCGACGCCGCGUGGGUGAAGAAGCGCCUCGGCGCGUAAAGCCCUGUCAGCAGGGAAGAAAAUGACCGUACCUGAAGAAGAAACCCCGGAUAACUACUUGCCAGCCGCCGCGGUAAUACGUAGGGGGCAAGCGUUAUCCGGAUUGACUGGGUGUAAAGGGGGCGCAGACGGCGAUGCAAGCCAGGAGGGAAAGCCCGGGGCCCAAACCCGGGACUGCUCGUGGAACUGCGUGGCUAGAGUGCAGGAGGGGCAGGCGGAAUUCCUGGUGUAGCGGUGAAAUGCGUAGAUAUCAGGAGGAACACCGGUGGCGAAGGCGGCCUACUGGACUGCAACUGACGUUGAGGCCCGAAAGCGUGGGGAGCAAACAGGAUUAGAUACCCUAGUAGUC
rnacentral:rRNA from 1 species